CCUACGGGAGGCAGCAGUGGGGAAUAUUGGACAAUGGGGGCAACCCUGAUCCAGCCAUGCCGCGUGUGUGAAGAAGGCCCUCGGGUUGUAAAGCACUUUCAGGGAGGAAGAACGCCUGGUGGUUAAUACCCAUCAGGAAAGACAUCACUCACAGAAGAAGCACCGGCUAACUCCGUGCCAGCAGCCGCGGUAAUACGGAGGGUGCGAGCGUUAAUCGGAAUUACUGGGCGUAAAGCGCGCGUAGGUGGCUUGAUAAGCCGGUUGUGAAAGCCCCGGGCUCAACCUGGGAACGGCAUCCGGAACUGGCAAGCUAGAGUGCAGGAGAGGAAGGUAGAAUUCCCGGUGUAGCGGUGAAAUGCGUAGAGAUCGGGAAGAAUACCAGUGGCGAAGGCGGCCUUCUGGACUGACACUGACACUGAGGUGCGAAAGCGUGGGUAGCAAACAGGAUUAGAUACCCCAGUAGUC
rnacentral:rRNA from 1 species